rnacentral:rRNA from 1 species
UACAGAGGGUGCGAGCGUUAAUCGGAAUUACUGGGCGUAAAGCGCGCGUAGGCGGCUUUGCAAGCCGGAUGUGAAAUCCCCGGGCUCAACCUGGGAACUGCAUUUGUGACUGCAUAGCUAGAGUACGGUAGAGGGGGAUGGAAUUCCGCGUGUAGCAGUGAAAUGCGUAGAUAUGCGGAGGAACACCGAUGGCGAAGGCAAUCCCCUGGACCUGUACUGACGCUCAUGCACGAAAGCGUGGGGAGCAAACAGG